rnacentral:rRNA from 1 species
AAAUUGAAGAGUUUGAUCAUGGCUCAGAUUGAACGCUGGCGGCAGGCCUAACACAUGCAAGUCGAGCGGUAGCACAGGAGAGCUUGCUCUCUGGGUGACGAGCGGCGGACGGGUGAGUAAUGUCUGGGAAACUGCCUGAUGGAGGGGGAUAACUACUGGAAACGGUAGCUAAUACCGCAUAACGUCUUCGGACCAAAGAGGGGGACCUUAGGGCCUCU